AGUCGGACGGCAGCACGGGAGCAAUCCUGGUGGCGAGUGGCAAACGGGUGAGUAAUAUAUCGGAACGUGCCCAGUAGUGGGGGAUAGCCCGGCGAAAGCCGGAUUAAUACCGCAUACGACCUGAGGGUGAAAGCGGGGGAUCGCAAGACCUCGCGCUAUUGGAGCGGCCGAUAUCAGAUUAGCUAGUUGGUGGGGUAAAGGCCUACCAAGGCAACGAUCUGUAGUUGGUCUGAGAGGACGACCAGCCACACUGGGACUGAGACACGGCCCAGACUCCUACGGGAGGCAGCAGUGGGGAAUUUUGGACAAUGGGCGCAAGCCUGAUCCAGCAAUGCCGCGUGCAGGAAGAAGGCCUUCGGGUUGUAAACUGCUUUUGUCAGGGAAGAAAUCUUCUGGGUUAAUACCUCGGGAGGAUGACGGUACCUGAAGAAUAAGCACCGG
rnacentral:rRNA from 1 species